rnacentral:rRNA from 1 species
GACGAACGCUGGCGGCGUGCCUAAUACAUGCAAGUCGAGCGGACUGAAUGGGAGCUUGCUCUUGUUCGGUCAGCGGCGGACGGGUGAGUAACACGUGGGCAACCUGCCCGCAAGACCGGGAUAACUCCGGGAAACCGGAGCUAAUACCGGAUAACACCGAAGACCGCAUGGUCUUUGGUUGAAAGGCGGCGCAAGCUGCCACUUGCGGAUGGGCCCGCGGCGCAUUAGCUAGUUGGUGAGGUAACGGCUCACCAAGGCGACGAUGCGUAGCCGGCCUGAGGGGGUGAUCGGCCACACUGGGGCGGAGACACGGCCCAUACGCCUACGGGAGGCAGCAGUAGGGAAUCGUCGGCAAUGGGCGAAAGCCUGACGGAGCGGCGCCGCGUGAGCGAAGAAGGCCUUCGGGUCGUAAAGACCGGUUGUGAGGGACGAAGGAGCGCCGGUUGAAGAAGGCGGCGCGGUGACGGUACCUGACGAGGAAGCCCCGGCUAACUACGUG